CUAGCCGUAAACGAUGGAUACUAGGCGUUGUGAGUAUCGACCCUCACAGUGUCGUAGCUAACGCGUUAAGUAUCCCGCCUGGGGAGUACGCGCGCAAGCGUGAAACUCAAAGGAAUUGACGGGGGCCCGCACAAGCGGUGGAGUAUGUGGUUUAAUUCGAUGCAACGCGAAGAACCAUACCAGGACUUGACAUGUCGCGAAUCUCAGGGAAACUUGAGAGUGCCUUCGGGAGCGCGAACACAGGUGGUGC
rnacentral:rRNA from 1 species